rnacentral:rRNA from 1 species
UACAGAGGUCUCAAGCGUUGUUCGGAUUCAUUGGGCGUAAAGGGUGCGUAGGCGGCGCGGUAAGUCGGGUGUGAAAUCUUGGAGCUUAACUCCGAAACUGCAUUCGAUACUGCCGUGCUUGAGGACUGGAGAGGAGACUGGAAUUUACGGUGUAGCGGUGAAAUGCGUAGAUAUUCGCAAGAACACCAGUGGCGAAGGCGGCUCACUGGUCCGGUUCUGACGCUGAGGCGCGAAAGCGUGGGAGCAACA